rnacentral:rRNA from 1 species
AGAUUGAACGCUGGCGGCAUGCCUUACACAUGCAAGUCGAACGGCAGCACGGGGGCAACCCUGGUGGCGAGUGGCGAACGGGUGAGUAAUGCAUCGGAACGUGCCCAGUAGUGGGGGGAUAACUAGUCGAAAGAUUAGCUAAUACCGCAUACGACCUACGGGUGAAAGCGGGGGAUUCGCAAGAACCUCGCGCUAUCGGAGCGGCCGAUGUCUGAUUAGCUAGUUGGCGGGGUAAAAGCCCACCAAGGCUUCGAUCAGUAGCUGGUCUGAGAGGACGACCAGCCACACUGGGACUGAGACACGGCCCAGACUCCUACGGGAGGCAGCAGUGGGAAUUUUGGACAAUGGGCGCAAGCCUGAUCCAGCCAUGCCGCGUGCGGGAGAAGGCCUUCGGUUGUAACCGCUUUUGGCAGGAACGAAACGGCGCGAGCAAAUAUCUCGCGUUAAUGACGUACGUGCAGAAUAAGCACCGGCUAACGUACGUGACCAGCAAGCCGUA